CCCUUACCUGUGCACACUACCAGAAGAAGCCAGAGAUUUUCAGCGACACCCGCGAGGGGACAUGGGCCUUUGCCCAUGUCCCGUAGUAGCCAGAGUUAUUAUCUCUCACUCGUGUUAGAAACAAUUCCCUCCGUAUAGCUUCAGUUACCAUACCGAAACAUGCCGACGACUUUAUAAUAAAUGAAGUGAGUUAAAGCAACCCGGGAUUGGACAACUUUCUUCGAGAAUAUGCAACAGAUGUGUGGACAACAUCAAAUGCGAGCAAUACGUAGAAUAAAUGAAGAUUAGGUCAUCCAAUAUACAUAGUUAGUGUAGGACAAUCGGGUAGUAUGAUGAAGGUAACUGUUAUUAUGAGAUACGGUUAACACAGAAGUGAUAUUGAACAUGCACAUUUUAACAUUGUUAAUUCCCUUUUACAUAUUUUUGGUUAUAGCAACUUGGUUGAACUACGGUGUUGUUAACUUUGGUUGUCAUUUAAUGCGCAUGGCUGAAGCAAUGCGCAAGGAGGGAUGUAGUGUGAAAUUAAAUCAAAGUAGAUACUGUAAAACAAUUAAAAUUAGAAUUCAUGGAAAUAUGUUUUUGAACAACUAACUGCUGUACAUGAGUUUGUAUUUCUGCAAUAGAAACAAAAGUUCCAGAACCAGAUGCAGACACACCCGGAGCCUACAAACUACCACCGCCGAGCAAGGACUAACAGUCAGAUGAGGAGAUCAAAUAACAGCAGGAUUUGAAUCGGCCACCUGUUACUGACACGACGACGACGGAGAACCUGUUUGGAGGCUCCCAUGAUGUAGGAGUAACCUCUCUGAGUUGAGCCCUUGACAAGGAGCGACGAGUCUUGGGUUCAUGAAUUACAGGCCCGACGGCGACAGAAGAAACAAUGGC
ensembl:lncRNA